rnacentral:rRNA from 1 species
AUGCCGCUCAACUACGUUGCUUCCAUCGCAAGUGAGGUGUUUGACGAAAUGGUCGGAAGUGGUGGUUCGAACAAUGCCACUAUCGAGUUCAUGAACUUGUUGAACUUGUUGGACAUCAACGCCAUUGACAUCGAUCAAGCCCCGUUCGUUGCAUUCAAUUACAAUGAAACAAAGGGCGACGUGGAUGACCACGAUGGUGAAGAAGAAUUUGAGGAGAUAGAUGAGGGGGCAUAUGAGCAAGCGCAAGCAAGAAAAAGCCAGAGAUCAAAGAACUACAUGAUCUUGAAAGAUCAAAUCUUGAUCAAGGGUUGGCGUGCGAUGUCUCUUAAUGCUUGCACGGGUACGUCACAAACCGCCAAGAGGUAUUGGAAAAAGAUCGAAGAUCAAUAUUUUCACAUGAUGGCAAAGUAUCCCAAUAGGACUCCACGCACCUUUCGGUCACUCCAAGGAUGUUGGGACGUGAUCAAGCCUAUUUGCAGCCGUUGGGCAGGUUGCUUGGAACAAGUACGAAAUGCACCUCCAAGUGGAACCGUGGAAUCCGACUAUGACAAAAUUGCCCAACAAAGAUACAAAGACAUGAAAGCUUCGGAAGGCAAAUUCUUCAAACUAGGCAUCAUUGGGACUUGCUCAAACAGUCCAAGAAGUGGAAGUUGA